rnacentral:rRNA from 1 species
UACGUAGGGUGCAAGCGUUGUCCGGAAUUAUUGGGCGUAAAAGAGCUCGUAGGCGGUUCAUUGCGUCAAUCGUGAAAUCCUGUGGCUCAACUACAGGCUUGCGGUUGAUACGGGUGGGCUGGAGUUCGGUAGGGGAGACUGGAAUUCCUGGUGUAGCGGUGAAAUGCGCAGAUAUCAGGAGGAACACCAGUGGCGAAGGCGGCUCACUGGACCGGAACUGACGCUGAGGCGCGAAAGCGUGGGGAGCAAACGGG